UCCUGGUUUUUCAGUUGGUAAAGAAUUCGCCUGAAAUGCGAGAGACCCUGGUUCAUUUCCUGGGUCAGGAA
rnacentral:tRNA from 1 species